CUCAGCUUCUAGAUUUUCCCAAACUGGACCCUAAAUCUGAAAUUUUUGACGGCCUCACGUUAAUCCUGGACUUGACUGCAUGCUUCCUCUUUCCUUCGCAGCUCGCUUUUGAUAGUUUGUUCGUCGCAGAGGAGAGGAGAUCGAAGGAUAAUCUUGCCUCGGCGCUCGCCGCUCGCCGCUCGCCGCUUGCCACACGUUGCUUCCUCAUCGUCACAACCCGCAACCUCACCUCCAUCACUCCUGCUUUCCAGGUCCCUUCCCUCUUUCUAGUCUCUGCCCAAAACAAGGAGAGGGGGAGGGACAUAGGCGAAGGUUUCACCUUCUUGACAGAACCCUCGCGAUAUAAUUGCGAUUAAAGCUAGCUAGAAAGAAAACAAAGUGAUUGCGGCCUUUAGAGACCACCAAAAUUCCCAUCUUUCUCAUUCUUCCGCUCCACUCCUAACAGAAACGAUUGAGGAAGAAACAGACGUGGCUUAAUUGUCCAGAGUGAUAACAUGGAUAUCAGUGAAGAUCAAGCAUGUAGAGAAUACAUGUAUUGGUAUAUAUCUUGGGCUUCCUUAUACUUGCUACAAGCUCCAUCUGAAGUACCAAAAUCAUAUUAUCCAAAAGCACCAAAGGAGAGAGUUCUGGGCCAUCAUUUCCUGAAGACGGAAGCUAUGACGGUUAUCUAAUAUUUUAAGCUACGGCCUAUAUUUGGGAAAUGUGAUGACA